GAGGAAUAUUGGUCAAUGGGCGCGAGCCUGAACCAGCCAAGUAGCGUGCAGGAUGACGGCCCUAUGGGUUGUAAACUGCUUUUGUAUGGGGAUAAAGUCAAUCACGUGUGAUUGUUUGCAGGUACCAUACGAAUAAGGACCGGCUAAUUCCGUGCCAGCAGCCGCGGUAAUACGGAAGGUCCAGGCGUUAUCCGGAUUUAUUGGGUUUAAAGGGAGCGUAGGCCGGAGAUUAAGUGUGUUGUGAAAUGUAGACGCUCAACGUCUGACUUGCAGCGCAUACUGGUUUCCUUGAGUACGCACAACGUUGGCGGAAUUCGUCGUGUAGCGGUGAAAUGCUUAGAUAUGACGAAGAACUCCGAUUGCGAAGGCAGCUGACGGGAGCGCAACUGACGCUUAAGCUCGAAGGUGCGGGUAUCAAACAGGAUUAGAUACCCUGGUAGUCCGCACAGUAAACGAUGGAUGCCCGCUGUUGGUACCUGGUAUCAGCGGCUAAGCGAAAGCAUUAAGCAUCCCACCUGGGGAGUACGCCGGCAACGGUG
rnacentral:rRNA from 1 species